rnacentral:lncRNA from 1 species
UCAGGAAGUCCUGGUGGGAGACUCGCCCCGGAGUCCUGGAGGUACCUGAAAACUUCCUCGAGCUGCAGUUGCUGUGCCGGCUUCCUAGGACAUUCAUCAGCUCGUCCUGUCACCCUGCCAGAACCCAUGAUAUUUGGCAGAUAGAAUCUUUGUACUCCAAGACUAUAGGAUACAUAUGGAAAAUAGAUGUACUGUAUCUGCUUGGUAAAAAGAAGUCGAACUUCACCAACGUGUCAGCUUUUAGUUUUCAAACCUGGUUGUGAAAUUUCAAGAAAACUUCCAAUAUUUGAAUCUGUGAGAAGAACAGCAAAAAGAAUGAGUGUGGCUCUGGGAAACACUCUACAGGGUUUCUUAACCUUCAAAGAUGUGGCUCCAGAGUUCACACUAGAGGAAUGGGAAAGUCUCAAUUAUACUCAGCGGGCACUGUACAUGGACGUGAUUUUGGAGACGUACAACAAUCUAUUGUCUGUGGAAAAUAAUCUAAGAUAGGUGGAAAACAUGGGAAUGUCUUAGAAC